AACGAACGCUGGCGGCAGGCCUAACACAUGCAAGUCGAACGGGCGUAGCAAUACGUCAGUGGCAGACGGGUGAGUAACACGUGGGAACCUUCCUCGUAGUACGGAACAACUCAGGGAAACUUGAGCUAAUACCGUAUACGUCCGAGAGGAGAAAGAUUUAUCGCUAUGAGACGGGCCCGCGUCCGAUUAGCUAGUUGGUGGGGUAACGGCCUACCAAGGCAACGAUCGGUAGCUGAUCUGAGAGGAUGAUCAGCCACACUGGGACUGAGACACGGCC
rnacentral:rRNA from 1 species